rnacentral:rRNA from 1 species
ACACUUGAUGAUUGCAUGACAGAGGCAGCGACAUUUCAAAUGCCUUCUACUCUUAGACGGUUGUUUGCGAAUAUACUGGUAUUCUGUGAGGCAACACAAAUCCAUCAAUUGUAGGACAAACAUCUAGCAUCCAUGUCUGAAGAUUAUCGCCGUACUAAAUCGAAUGAGGAAGGACUUGAGCAAAUGGUCCUUAGGGAUAUCAGGGGUCUGCUGCAAACCAUGGGAAAUGAUAUUAAACUCUAUGGACUUCCAGAUCUGGUUGACGCAGAUGGUUCUUCUAACAUUGACAAUACAGAGGUAACAGAGGAGAGACAGGUCAAAGUGGACCAAGAACAUCUAGAUCGAUUCAGCUGUUUGAACAAUGAGCAACUAUCUGGUUUCAAUGACAUAAUGGAUCAUGUGACGAACCAAAAAAGGCAGAUAUUCUUUGUUGACGGUCCAGGAGGAACUAGGAAGACGUACAUGUACAAGGCGUUGCUUGCACAGGUCCGUUCGAUGGGCCUAAUAGCGAUCGCAACUGCUACAUCAGUUAUAGAAAUGAAAAAGUACAGACUUUAA